UACGGAGGGUGCGAGCGUUAUCCGGAUUCACUGGGUUUAAAGGGUGCGUAGGUGGGCAGGUAAGUCCGUGGUGAAAUCCUAUAGCUUAACUAUAGAACUGCCAUGGAUACUAUUUGUCUUGAAUGUCGUAGAGGUAAGCGGAAUAUGUCAUGUAGCGGUGAAAUGCUUAGAUAUGACAUAGAACACCAAUUGCGAAGGCAGCUUACUAUGCGAUGAUUGACACUGAGGCACGAAAGCGUGGGUAGCAAACAGG
rnacentral:rRNA from 1 species